UUUCUGUUUUUUUUUUUUUUUUUUUUUUUUUUUUUUGUUGUUCUUUUUUUUAUGUGUUUUAGUUUUU
rnacentral:ribozyme from 1 species